rnacentral:misc_RNA from 1 species
GUGAAUCAUCAAAUCUUUGAACGCACAUUGCGCUUCCUGGCAUCCCGGGAAGUAUGCCUGUUUGAGAGUCAGUAUUAACAAAAAAUCGGUUUGGUUGCAAAUUGUGACGUUUCCGGAGUUUGGGCUAUCUUAACUUUUUUGGUUAAGGGGCUUAAAAUUGACCUUAUUUGCGCAUUUUUAGACGUACAUAAAUUUUUUUUUUAUUGGCUUAUUUUUAUUGCAAAAUUCUUAUAAGUUGGGUCCA